AGAGUUUGAUCCUGGCUCAGGACGAACGCUGGCGGCGUGCUUUACACAUGCAAGUCGAGCGAUGAGAUCCCUUCGGGGAUGGAUUAGCGGCGAACGGGUGAGGAACACGUAAGGAAUCUACCUUCAACACUGGGAUAACUCCGGGAAACCGGGGCUAAUACCGGAUACGAGAACCGCAGGCAUCUGUGGCUCUGGAAAGUUUUUCGGUUGAAGAUGACCUUGCGGCCUAUCAGCUUGUUGGUGAGGUAAUGGCUCACCAAGGCGACGACGGGUAGCCGGCCUGAGAGGGCGACCGGCCACACUGGGACUGAGACACGGCCCAGACUCCUACGGGAGGCAGCAGUGGGGAAUAUUGGGCAAUGGAGGAAACUCUGACCCAGCGACGCCGCGUGCGGGAUGAAGGCCUUCGGGUUGUAAACCGCUUUCAGCAGGGAAGAAGCGAAAGUGACGGUACCUGCAGAAGAAGCACCGGCUAACUAUGUGCCAGCAGCCGCGGUAAUACAUAGGGUGCAAGCGUUGUCCGGAAUUAUUGGGCGUAAAGCGCGUGUAGGCGGUUUGAUUAGUCUGAUGUGAAAGCCCUGGGCUCAACCCAGGAAGUGCAUUGGAAACUGUCAGACUUGAAUACGGGAGAGGGUAGUGGAAUUCCUAGUGUAGGAGUGAAAUCCGUAGAUAUUAGGAGGAACACCGGUGGCGAAGGCGGCUACCUGGACCGAUAUUGACGCUGAGACGCGAAAGCGUGGGUAGCAAACAGGAUUAGAUACCCUGGUAGUCC
rnacentral:rRNA from 1 species